AGGGAUUGCCCUAGUAACGGCGAGUGAAGCGGCAACAGCUCAAAUUUGAAAUCUGGCUCUUUUAGAGUCCGAGUUGUAAUUUGCAGAGGGCGCUUUGGCUUUGGCAGCGGUCCAAGUUCCUUGGAACAGGACGUCACAGAGGGUGAGAAUCCCGUACGUGGUCGCUGGCUAUUGCCGUGUAAAGCCCCUUCGACGAGUCGAGUUGUUUGGGAAUGCAGCUCUAAAUGGGAGGUACAUUUCUUCUAAAGCUAAAUAUUGGCCAGAGACCGAUAGCGCACAAGUAGAGUGAUCGAAAGAUGAAAAGCACUUUGGAAAGAGAGUCAAACAGCACGUGAAAUUGUUGAAAGGGAAGCGCUUGCAGCCAGACUUGCUUACAGUUGCUCAUCCGGGUUUCUACCCGGUGCACUCUUCUGUAGGCAGGCCAGCAUCAGUUUGGGCGGUAGGAUAAAGGUCUCUGUCACGUACCUCCUUUCGGGGAGGCCUUAUAGGGGAGACGACAUACUACCAGCCUGGACUGAGGUCCGCGCAUCUGCUAGGAUGCUGGCGUAAUGGCUGUAAGCGGCCCGUCUUGAAACACGGACCAAGGAGUCUAACAUCUAUGCGAGUGUUUGGGUGUCAAGCCCGAGCGCGUAAUGAAAGUGAACGGAGGUGGGAACCCGCAAGGGUGCACCAUCGACCGAUCCUGAUGUCUUCGGAAGGAUUUGAGUAAGAGCAUGGCUGUUGGGACCCGAAAGAUGGUGAACUAUGCUUGAAUAGGGUGAAGCCAGAGGAAACUCUGGUGGAGGCUCGCAGCGGUUCUGACGUGCAAAUCGAUCGUCAAAUUUGGGCAUAGGGGCGAAAGACUAAUCGAACUAUCUAGU
rnacentral:rRNA from 1 species